rnacentral:rRNA from 1 species
UGGGGAAGUAUUGCACAAUGGGGGAAACCCGUGAUGCAGCGACGCCGCGUGAGCGAUGAAGUAUUUCGGUAUGUAAAGCUCUAUCAGCAGGGAAGAAAAUGACGGUACCUGACUAAGAAGCCCCGGCUAACUACGUGCC